GGCUUAGAGUUUGAUCAUGGCUCAGGACGAACGCUGGCGGCGCGCCUAACACAUGCAAGUCGAACGGAGUUAUUCCGAAUGAAGUUUUCGGAUGGAUUUUGGGAUAACUUAGUGGCGAACGGGUGAGUAACGCGUGAGUAACCUGCCCUGGAGUGGGGGACAACAGUUGGAAACGACUGCUAAUACCGCAUAAGCCCACGAUCCGGCAUCGGAUUGAGGGAAAAGGAUUUAUUCGCUUCAGGAUGGACUCGCGUCCAAUUAGCUAGUUGGUGAGGUAACGGCCCACCAAGGCGACGAUUGGUAGCCGGACUGAGAGGUUGAACGGCCACAUUGGGACUGAGACACGGCCCAGACUCCUACGGGAGGCAGCAGUGGGGGAUAUUGCACAAUGGGGGAAACCCUGAUGCAGCGACGCCGCGUGGAGGAAGAAGGUUUUCGGAUUGUAAACUCCUGUCGUUAGGGACGAAUCAUGACGGUACCUAACAAGAAAGCACCGGCUAACUACGUGCCAGCAGCCGCGGUAAAACGUAGGGUGCAAGCGUUGUCCGGAAUUACUGGGUGUAAAGGGAGCGCAGGCGGACCGGCAAGUUGGAAGUGAAAUCUAUGGGCUCAACCCAUAAAUUGCUUUCAAAACUGCUGGCCUUGAGUAGUGCAGAGGUAGGUGGAAUUCCCGGUGUAGCGGUGGAAUGCGUAGAUAUCGGGAGGAACACCAGUGGCGAAGGCGACCUACUGGGCACCAACUGACGCUGAGGCUCGAAAGCAUGGGUAGCAAACAGGAUUAGAUACCCUGGUAGUCCAUGCCGUAAACGAUGAUUACUAGGUGUUGGAGGAUUGACCUCCUUCAGUGCCGCAGUUAACACAAUAAGUAA
rnacentral:rRNA from 1 species